rnacentral:rRNA from 1 species
GGCAGCACGGACUUCGGUCUGGUGGCGAGUGGCGAACGGGUGAGUAAUAUAUCGGAACAUACCCAGUAGUGGGGGAUAACUAUCCGAAAGGAUAGCUAAUACCGCAUACGAUCUGUGGAUGAAAGCAGGGGAUCUUCGGACCUUGUGCUAUUGGAAUGGCCGAUAUCUGAUUAGCUAGUUGGUAGGGUAAAAGCCUACCAAGGCGACGAUCAGUAGCUGGUCUGAGAGGACGACCAGCCACACUGGAACUGAGACACGGUCCAGACUCCUACGGGAGGCAGCAGUGGGGAAUUUUGGACAAUGGGGGCAACCCUGAUCCAGCAAUGCCGCGUGAGUGAAGAAGGCCCUCGGGUUGUAAAGCUCUUUUGUCAGGGAAGAAACGGAGUUCUCUAAUAUAGGAUUCUAAUGACGGUACCUGAAGAAUAAGCACCGGCUAACUACGUGCCAGCAGCCGCGGUAAUACGUAGGGUGCAAGCGUUAAUCGGAAUUACUGGGCGUAAAGCGUGCGCAGGCGGUUUUGUAAGUCUGAUGUGAAAUCCCCGGGCUCAACCUGGGAACUGCAUUGGAGACUGCAAGGCUAGAGUGUGUCAGAGGGGGGUAGAAUUCCACGUGUAGCAGUGAAAUGCGUAGAGAUGUGGAGGAAU